AGUUCCAGGCGGCAUGGAGGGGUGAGUCUUUGGGCCCGAUGGUGCAAGGGGGGAUUCAGAGCAGCUCAGUGGCCUCAGGACAACGCUGUGGACCGCCUGGCACCUGGGGACCUGGGGAGAACACGGGCCUUGCGCUGGGUCUACCUGAGUGGAAACCGCAUCACCGAAGUGUCCCUUGGGGCGCUGGGCCCAGCUCGGGAGCUGGAGAAGCUGCACCUGGACAGGAAUCAGCUGCGAGAGGUGCCCACUGGGGCCUUGGAGGGGCUGCCUGCCCUCCUGGAGCUGCAGCUCUCGGGCAACCCACUCAGGGCCUUGCGUGACGGAGCCUUCCAGCCUGUGGGCAGGUCGCUGCAGCACCUCUUCCUGAACAGCAGUGGCCUGGAGCAGAUUUGUCCUGGGGCCUUUUCAGGCCUGGGGCCCGGGCUCCAGAGCCUGCACCUGCAGAAGAACCAGCUUCGGGCCCUGCCUGCCCUGCCCAGUCUCAGCCAGCUGGAGCUCAUCGACCUCAGCAGCAAUCCCUUCCACUGUGACUGCCAGCUGCUUCCGCUGCACAGGUGGCUUACUGGGCUGAACCUGCGGGUGGGGGCCACCUGCGCCACCCCUCCCAAUGCCCGUGGCCAGAGGGUGAAGGCUGCAGCUGCUGUCUUUGAAGACUGCCCGGGCUGGGCUGCCAGAAAGGCCAAGCGGACACCAGCCUCCAGGCCCAGUGCCAGGAGAACCCCCAUCAAAGGAAGACAGUGUGGAGCAGAUAAGGUUGG
rnacentral:lncRNA from 1 species